CCUGAGAAACGGCUACCACAUCCAAGGAAGGCAGCAGGCGCGCAAAUUACCCACUCCCAGAACGGGGAGGUAGUGACGAAAAAUAACRAUACGGGACUCUUUUGAGACCCCGUAAUUGGAAUGAGUACACUCUAAAUCCUUUAACGAGGAUCUAUUCGAGGGCAAGUCUGGUGCCAGCMGCCGCGGUAAUUCCAGCUCGAAUAGCGUAUAUUAAAGUUGUUGCGGUUAAAAAGCUCGUAGUUGGAUCUCAGUUCCRGACGGGUGGUCYGCCAAACGGYGGUUACUGCCCGUUCUGAACAGCCMGCCGGUUUCUCUUGAUGAUCUUCACCGGUUGUCUCGGGUGACCGGCAAGUUUACUUUGAAAAAAUUAGAGUGCUCAAAGCAGGCGCGASGCCUGRAUAAUGGUGCAUGGAAUAAUGGAAUAGGACCUCGGUUCUAUUUUGUUGGUUUUCGGAACCCGAGGUAAUGAUUAAGAGGGACAGACGGGGGCAUUCGUAUUGCGACGCUAGAG
rnacentral:rRNA from 1 species